AGGACGAACGCUGGCGGCGUGCUUAACACAUGCAAGUCGAACGGAAAGGCCCUGCUUGCAGUGGUACUCGAGUGGCGAACGGGUGAGUAACACGUGGGUGAUCUGCCCUGCACUUCGGGAUAAGCUUGGGAAACUGGGUCUAAUACCGGAUAGGAACCAUCUUUAGUGUGGUGGUUGGAAAGUUUUUUCGGUGUAGGAUGAGCUCGCGGCCUAUCAGCUUGUUGGUGGGGUAAUGGCCUACCAAGGCGGCGACGGGUAGCCGGCCUGAGAGGGUGUACGGCCACAUUGGGACUGAGAUACGGCCCAGACUCCUACGGGAGGCAGCAGUGGGGAAUAUUGCACAAUGGGCGCAAGCCUGAUGCAGCGACGCCGCGUGGGGGAUGAAGGCCUUCGGGUUGUAAACUCCUUUCGCUAGGGACGAAGCUUUUUGUGACGGUACCUAGAUAAGAAGCACCGGCUAACCACGUGCCAGCAGCCGCGGUAAUACGUAGGGUGCGAGCGUUGUCCGGAAUUACUGGGCGUAAAGGGCUCGUAGGUGGUUUGUCGCGUCGUCUGUGAAAUUCAGGGGCUUAACUCCGGGCGUGCAGGCGAUACGGGCAUAACUUGAGUGCUGUAGGGGUAACUGGAAUUCCUGGUGUAGCGGUGAAAUGCGCAGAUAUCAGGAGGAACACCGAUGGCGAAGGCAGGUCACUGGGCAGUUACUGACGCUGAGGAGCGAAAGCAUGGGUAGCGAACAGGAUUAGAU
rnacentral:rRNA from 1 species